UGGGGAAUAUUGCACAAUGGGGGAAACCCUGAUGCAGCGACGCCGCGUGAACGAAGAAGGUAUUCGUAUCGUAAAGUUCUGUCCUAUGGGAAGAUAAUGACAGUACCAUAGAAGAAAGCUCCGGCUAAAUACGUGCCAGCAGCCGCGGUAAUACGUAUGGAGCGAGCGUUGUCCGGAAUUAUUGGGCGUAAAGGGUACGCAGGCGGUUUAAUAAGUCGAAUGUUAAAGAUCGGGGCUCAACCCCGCAAAGCAUUGGAAACUGAUAAACUUGAGUAGUGGAGAGGAAAGUGGAAUUACUAGUGUAGUGGUGAAAUACGUAGAUAUUAGGAGGAAUACCAGUAGCGAAGGAGACUUUCUGGACACAAACUGACGCUGAGGUACGAAAGAGUGGGGAGCAAACAGG
rnacentral:rRNA from 1 species